rnacentral:rRNA from 1 species
UACGUAGGGGGCAAGCGUUGUCCGGAUUUAUUGGGCGUAAAGAGUGUGUAGGCGGCUAGAUAGGUCCGUUGUGAAAACUCGAGGCUCAACCUCGAGACGUCGAUGGAAACCAUCUGGCUAGAGUCCGGAAGAGGAGAGUGGAAUUCCUGGUGUAGCGGUGAAAUGCGCAGAUAUCAGGAAGAACACCCGUGGCGAAGGCGGCUCUCUGGGACGGUACUGACGCUGAUGCGCGAAAGCCAGGGGAGCGAACGGG